UGGGGAAUUUUGCACAAUGGGGGAAACCCUGAUGCAGCGACGCCGCGUGAUUUAGAAGGCCUUCGGGUUGUAAAAAUCUUUUCUAUGGGAAGAAAAUGACAGUACCAUAGGAAUAAGGACCGGCUAAUUACGUGCCAGCAGCCGCGGUAAUACGUAGGUCCCGAGCGUUGUCCGGAUUUAUUGGGCGUAAAGCGAGCGCAGGCGGUUAGAAAAGUCUGAAGUGAAAGGCAGUGGCUCAACCAUUGUAGGCUUUGGAAACUGUUUAACUUGAGUGCAGAAGGGGAGAGUGGAAUUCCAUGUGUAGCGGUGAACUGCGUAGAUAUAUGGAGGAACACCGGUGGCGAAAGCGGCUCUCUGGUCUGUAACUGACGCUGAGGCUCGAAAGCGUGGGGAGCGAACAGG
rnacentral:rRNA from 1 species